AUUGAACGCUGGCGGCAGGCCUAACACAUGCAAGUCGAGCGAGGGGCGGACGGGAGAGUAAUGUAUGGGGACUGCCCGAUAGAGGGGGAUAACUACUGGAAACGGUGGCUAAUACCGCAUACUAUCGGAUAACCCAUAGGGGAUUAGCUAGUAGGUGGGGGAAAGGCUCACCGAGGCGCCGAUCUCUAGCUGGUCUGAGAGGAUGAACAGCCACAUUGGGAAUGGGACCCGGCCCAGACUCCAACGGAGGCAGCAGUGGGGAAUAGUGGACAAUGGGCGCAAGCCUGAUGCAGCCAUGCCGCGUGUAGGAAGAAGGCCUUAGGGUUGUAAAGUACUUUCAGCGGGGAGGCGUUACCCGCAGAAGAAGCACCGGCUAACUCCGUGCCAGCAGCCGCGGUAAUUC
rnacentral:rRNA from 1 species